rfam:Candidatus Symbiobacter mobilis CR, complete genome.
CGCGACUUGCAGCAAUGCAGGCCGUGAUGGUGCAGAAGUCAGCAGAGGCCAUAGUAGGUGCUCAGGAGUCGGAACAUCGAAGGGC